CAGAGGUGAGCAACCUAUUUCUGAAUUUCUAUUUACAGAAUUCAUGUAUUCAGAGGAAAACCACUGAAGAGACCAGAACACUGAACUGAUGUCCUGUCACUGUCCUGUCUUGCUUGCUUUGGAUUUCAAACUAAUCACAGCUGAGUCAAGGUAUACAGAACUCAUUCCUUCAUGAAGAAUGAAAGAGACAUGCUGAUGUUACUGUGAACUUCCAUAGUCAAAACUGAUCCCAUUGCAAGAUCUGAAUAGGACAUUGCCACACAGAUAAAUGAUCUUAGCAACAGUGAAGAAAAAGCUCUUGAAAAGGCUCCACCUGGAUCCUGUACUCUGCCAGCCUUGUAUCUAAUGCAGAUACCUCACAUGAAGAAAUUUAAGAAAAUAGCUCCUGAAUUCAAUGUUCACAGUCAGACCUUGCCCACAACAGAAGCACUGAAGGCAUUUAGAUACCUGGACUCCAGAGUGGACUCUGACUAG
rnacentral:lncRNA from 1 species